UAAGGUAGUAGAGUCCGUCUGAUUCAAGUCCUGUUCCAAUCGUCUGUCCCGUACUGCGGUCCUGCAUAAUAAAAGAGUCAUCAAUAAAGGUUCUAGGGAAAUAUAGAGGUUUCCUUAUUAAGACUCUAGAACCCUAUAGAAUUGUUAGGAAAGUCCUUUGAAGAAUCUAGUUGUGUAGAAUAUUCUAAAGAAGGGACUUAAUUUUAAAUAUGGAAGGACUUGUAGAACAAUUAUUAUUUACAUACUAACCCCUCGGUGAUUAGUAUAAAUAGGGAGCAUUCAUUUGUAAUUUAUCAACCAAGCAAACAAUUCAAGUUCUCUCCAAUACAAA
rnacentral:lncRNA from 1 species